rnacentral:rRNA from 1 species
UAGAUACCCUGGUAGUCCACACCAUAAACGAUGUACACUAGGUGUUGGGGCAAGAGCCUCAGUGCCGAAGCAAACGUGAUAAGUGUACCGCCUGGGGAGUAUGCCGGCAACGGUGAAACUCAAAGGAAUUGACGGGGGCCCACACAAGCGGUGGAGCAUGUGGUUUAAUUCGAGGGUACGCGAGGAACCUUACCUGGGUUUGACAUCAAGAGCAAUACUGUAGAGAUAUGGUAGCGUAGCAAUACGGCUU